rnacentral:rRNA from 1 species
AUUGAACGCUGGCGGCAUGCCUUACACAUGCAAGUCGAACGGUAACGCGGGGCAACCUGGCGACGAGUGGCGAACGGGUGAGUAAUGCAUCGGAACGUGCCCGGUAGUGGGGGAUAACUGCUCGAAAGAGCAGCUAAUACCGCAUACGACCUGAGGGUGAAAGGGGGGGAUCGCAAGACCUCUCGCUAUCGGAGCGGCCGAUGUCGGAUUAGCUAGUUGGUGGGGUAAGAGCCCACCAAGGCAACGAUCCGUAGCUGGUCUGAGAGGACGACCAGCCACACUGGGGCUGAGACACGGCCCAGACUCCUACGGGAGGCAGCAGUGGGGAAUUUUGGACAAUGGACGCAAGUCUGAUCCAGCCAUGCCGCGUGCGGGAAGAAGGCCUUCGGGUUGUAAACCGCUUUUGUCAGGGAAGAAAUCUUCUGAGUUAAUACCUCGGGAGGAUGACGGUACCUGAAGAAUAAGCACCGGCUAACUACGUGCCAGCCGCCGCGGUAACAC